CGCAAUUUGCAGCAAUGUCUGGUUUCCCAAAUGUAAUCGGCGCAAUUGACUGCACUCAUGUUGCUAUAAGGGCACCAUCUGAAAAUGAAUUUGCUUAUGUUAAUAGAAAGCAUGUGCAUUCUAUUAAUGUGCAAAUCAUAUGUGACUCCAACAUGACCCUCACAAACAUUGUGGCACGCUGGCCUGGUUCAACACAUGAUUCCUUUAUCUUGACACAUAGCAGUGUAGGGAACAGACUAAAUGCAGGCGCAGUACGUGAUGGCUGGCUUCUUGAGCGCAGAGGAAACUCAUUAUAACGAGGUCCACUCUCGUGCCCGCGCAGUUGUGGAGCGUGCCAUCGGCAUCCUGAAAUGCAGAUGGCGUGCUCUGGAUGCCUCGGGUGGCAGACUUUUAUACCAUCCAGCAAAAGUGUGCAAGAUUGUCAGGGCGUGUGGUGUUUUGCACAAUAUAGCACUGAGAAACGGUAUUCCUCUCCCUCCUGAUCUCCCUCUACCCCAGCAUUACGACCCCGAGCCACAGCCCCCUGGCCGACAAGAGGGAUAUCAACGAGGUGCAAGAAUCCGUGAGGAUGUCAUGCGGCGUUUGUAAAGAAAGACAAAACUCAAGGACUGCGUCAGUGAGUACCCGACCACUUUUGGACGUGCCAGACGCAGAAGGGGCACUGCUUUGAGCCGGACGCUGUGCAUCUGCAUCUGAGAACCCCUCACCCUGAACCUCCUGUUCAUUUACAGCUUCAGACUCCGGAAGGACUGGAGGACAAAACAAUUGGCAACAUUUAUCCAUUUAUCACCCCCACACACUCAAAUGUACAGCGUUAAUGAUUAAAAAUCGGUUUAACCUUG